CACUGCUGGUGGACUGACUGCUCAGAGGGAUUGGGCUGCUGCAUGGUCCUGCCCUGUGCCCACUGGGAAGUCUGUGUCCAUUGCUGCAGUG
ensembl:miRNA